rnacentral:rRNA from 1 species
UACGUAGGGUGCAAGCGUUAAUCGGAAUUACUGGGCGUAAAGCGUGCGCAGGCGGUUUUGUAAGUCUGUCGUGAAAUCCCCGGGCUCAACCUGGGAAUUGCGAUGGAGACUGCAAGGCUAGAAUCUGGCAGAGGGGGGUAGAAUUCCACGUGUAGCAGUGAAAUGCGUAGAGAUGUGGAGGAACACCGAUGGCGAAGGCAGCCCCCUGGGUCAAGAUUGACGCUCAUGCACGAAAGGCGUGGGGAGCAAACGA